UACGUAGGGUGCAAGCGUUAAUCGGAAUUACUGGGCGUAAAGCGUGCGCAGGCGGUUAUGUAAGACAGGUGUGAAAUCCCCGGGCUUAACCUGGGAACUGCAUUUGUGACUGCAUAGCUAGAGUACGGUAGAGGGGGAUGGAAUUCCGCGUGUAGCAGUGAAAUGCGUAGAUAUGCGGAGGAACACCGAUGGCGAAGGCAAUCCCCUGGACCUGUACUGACGCUCAUGCACGAAAGCGUGGGGAGCAAAACGG
rnacentral:rRNA from 1 species